CCUACGGGAGGCAGCAGUGGGGGAUAUUGCACAAUGGGGGGAACCCUGAUGCAGCGACGCCGCGUGGGUGAAGAAGCGCCUCUGCGCGUAAAGCCCUGUCAGCAGGGACGAAGAUGACGGUACCUGGGGAGGAAGCUCCGGCAAACUACGUGCCAGCAGCCGCGGUAAUACGUAGGGAGCGAGCGUUGUCCGGAAUUACUGGGUGUAAAGGGAGCGUAGGCGGGACUGCAAGUUGGGUGUCAAAUCUACCGGCUCAACCGGUAGCCGCACUCAAAACUGCAGUUCUUGAGUGAAGUAGAGGCAGGCGGAAUUCCUAGUGUAGCGGUGAAAUGCGUAGAUAUUAGGAGGAACACCAGUGGCGAAGGCGGCCUGCUGGGCUUUUACUGACGCUGAGGCUCGAAAGUGUGGGGAGCAAACAGGAUUAGAUACCCUAGUAGUC
rnacentral:rRNA from 1 species